rnacentral:rRNA from 1 species
CCCUAUGGGUUGUAAACUGCUUUUGUACAGGAAGAAACCUUUCCACGUGUGGAGAGCUGACGGUACUGUAAGAAUAAGCAUCGGCUAACUCCGUGCCAGCAGCCGCGGUAAUACGGAGGGGGCAAGCGUUAUUCAGUUUAAUUUGGUGUAAAGGGUUCGUAGGUUGUAUUUAGGUUGUUUAAAUUAAAAUCAAGAGACUUAACCUCUUUAAUAUUUUUAAAAACACUUUUACUAGAGUAUAAAAAAAGAUUAUAGAAUUUUAAGGGUAGAGAUAAAAUUCUAAGAUCCUUAAAGGAACACCAAAAGCGAAAGCAAUAGUCUUGUUUAUUACUGACACUGAGGAACGAAAGGAUAGGGAGCAAACAGGAUUAGUGACCCUGGUAGUCUAUCCCGUAAACUAUGAGUGCUGAUAUUUAGAAUUUAAAAUUUUGGGUAUUAAGUUAACACGUUAAGCACUCCACCUGAGGAGUAUAGUCGCAAGGCUGGAACUCAAAGGAAUUGACGGGGGCC